GCGCCACCCGCCCCGCCCUUUUCUCUUCGGGCGGGGCAGGCGGCAGCCCUUGGCGGGAGGCGCUCAAGGCUGACCCGGGUUUGGAUGGGGCACCACCAGGAAACCCAGGGCUGGGAAGUCGCGAAACCUUCCUGGAAGGAAGGAGCCGGGGGCCAGGCGGGGUUCUGCCACUGAGACUUGGUGCUUUCUAGCCUCCCCUAAAAGGGACUCCUUCAUCCACCCAUCCAGCACAAAAUUUAGAAAAGUUUCCAAGCACCCACAAACACAGUCGUCUUCCCCAGGUGCACAGAGCAACCCUCUGACAGGAAUAUUUCUAGAGAUGAAAAAUUUCUGGAAAUGUUGAAACCUCGAGGCAAAAACUGAAGCAUUUGCAAUCUGGGUUUCCCAAUGAUGCAUCCACUGCUGCCGUAAUUCUUCCACCUUUUAUGGUCAUCCCUUUCUCCUUCCUUCCAAUUUUGCCAACAUUAUGAGGAGCAUGAAAAUAUCUAUAAUAUUACCUGUCCAAGACCCGUAAUCAAAUGAAAUUAUUCGUUUUUUUAAAACUAAUUAUCAUUUAUUAUUGAGGGAAAAGUAUGUACAUCUGUAUUUUCAGAGUCAAAAAUAAAUAAAUUUAUUUUUAAUAUUAA